GCAGCUAGUGGCCUGCCAAUCACAGGACGUCAUGCCCCGGUUUGCAGUGCCCAGAAUCUCCUCCAGGUUCGGCUUUGACAUCCUCCUGCAGAGGGCUUACUCCAGUCUCAGGACUUUCAGGUGAAUCAGAAGAAAAGAUGUAAUUCACGCCGGCAAAUGGUUUAGAGAUCCAGAAGAAGAAAUAAAUGGAAAUACGUCAUACCGCGACCACCAAGACCCAGGAGCAGAAGAACUAAGAAAACUAAGAAUUAAGGACAGAUGAAGGAAGAUGCAGUGAAUUUGAGCCCGAUGAUCAAUUGUGCAAACUGCACACAAGACAACACAUACAAACAUGAUGCAACCGAAGCAAGGAGCAUUUAGUAAGACGCAAUUGGCAGGACCUUCACUAGGUGCCGGUUGGCAAACAUGAAGACGGCUGGAAUGAGAGCUGAGUGACCAGGUGGGUGCUGAAUGAAACCCUGGGUUUGUCAAGGAGUUGAUUGGAGGGAACUAACAUGAAAGGACCCUGGAAAUCAUGAAGAACGGCAUCCUAUGAGGAAGAUUAUUUAUUCAAUCAUUAGUCCUGGAAACAUUGCUGAGCGUGGGCUGUACUGUUGACACCAAGUCAGGCACUGAAGGGUAACAAGCCUCCUUUCAACUCUGGCUUGCUGGCAGUCCCAGCCUUAUAAGUCUCAUCAGUGACCCCUGACAUGAGGCUAUAAUACCAGCUAUUGCCUUCCAUUGG